rnacentral:rRNA from 1 species
GAUGAACGCUGGCGGCGUGCCUAAUACAUGCAAGUCGAGCGAACGGACGAGAAGCUUGCUUCUCUGACGUUAGCGGCGGACGGGUGAGUAACACGUGGAUAACCUACCUAUAAGACUGGGAUAACUUCGGGAAACCGUAGCUAAUACCGGAUAAUAUUUUGAACCGCAUGGUUCAAUAGUGAAAGACGGUUUUGCUGUCACUUAUAGAUGGAUCCGCGCUGCAUUAGCUAGUUGGUAAGGUAACGGCUUACCAAGGCAACGAUGCAUAGCCGACCUGAGAGGGUGAUCGGCCACACUGGAACUGAGACACGGUCCAGACUCCUACGGGAGGCAGCAGUAGGGAAUCUUCCGCAAUGGGCGAAAGCCUGACGGAGCAACGCCGCGUGAGUGAUGAAGGUCUUCGGAUCGUAAAACUCUGUUAUUAGGGAAGAACAUAUGUGUAAGUAACUGUGCACAUCUUGACGGUACCUAAUCAGAAAGCCACGGCUAACUACGUG